UACACUCCUACGGGAGGCAGCAGUGGGGAAUAUUGGACAAUGGGCGCAAGCCUGAUCCAGCCAUGCCGCGUGAGUGAUGAAGGCCCUAGGGUUGUAAAGCUCUUUCACCGGUGAAGAUAAUGACGGUAACCGGAGAAGAAGCCCCGGCUAACUUCGUGCCAGCAGCCGCGGUAAUACGAAGGGGGCUAGCGUUGUUCGGAUUUACUGGGCGUAAAGCGCACGUAGGCGGACUAUUAAGUCAGGGGUGAAAUCCCGGGGCCCAACCCCGGAACUGCCUUUGAUACUGGUAGUCUUGAGUUCGAGAGAGGUGAGUGGAAUUCCGAGUGUAGAGGUGAAAUUCGUAGAUAUUCGGAGGAACACCAGUGGCGAAGGCGGCUCACUGGCUCGAUACUGACGCUGAGGUGCGAAAGCGUGGGGAGCAAACAGGAUUAGAUACCCCUGUAGUCCCAUGA
rnacentral:rRNA from 1 species